UACAGAGGUCUCAAGCGUUGCUCGGAAUCACUGGGCGUAAAGGGUUCGUAGGCGGUGCGGCAAGUCGGGAGUGAAAUCUCUGGGCUUAACCCAGAGGCUGCUUCCGAAACUGCUGUGCUUGAGUGUGGGAGAGGCGCGUGGAAUUGCAGGUGUAGCGGUGAAAUGCGUAGAUAUCUGCAGGAACACCCGUGGCGAAAGCGGCGCGCUGGACCACUACUGACGCUGAGGAACGAAAGCUAGGGGAGCAGACAGG
rnacentral:rRNA from 1 species